UUGAUUACAUUAUGAGGUUUUGAUUUUUUAUAAGUUUAUUGUAAUGUCAUUUUAGUUUGAGUAUAGUCUGAAGAUAAAAUUUUUAUGUAUGUUCUGUGAGGGAUGGUGUUAAGUUUUUUUAAGUUGAUUUUUUGUUGUACCUUGUGUAUCAGGGUUUAUUAAUUUUUAAUAUUGAUUGUUUUUUUUCCCGAAACUGGAAGAGCUAUUUUGUUAUGUAGAUUUUUGUGUUAAAAAAAUCUUGAAUAUCAAGAUAGUAGUGAAAUGUUAGUCGUUUUUGGUGAUAUCUGGUUUCUUGGGAAAUUAAUUUAAUUUAGCAAUUAUUUUAUUUUUUUUCUUUUUUUUAAGUUUAAAAUUGGUUUAAUUGUAUUUUUAAGGGGGAUUAGCUCUUUUUAAUAUAUUUAUAACAUUUUGUUAAGGAAAUUUUAUUGGUUUUGUAAUAACUAUUAUUUAUGAGUAUGUUAAAAUUUUAUUUUGGUUUUAUUAUUAAUUUUGAUUUGUUUAUAUAUUUACUAGGUUAGGUAUUCUAAUUUUUAUUGUACAUUAAUAAUGAUGGAAUUAGUAUAUUAUUUUUAUUUUUGUUUUUUGGGUUUAAUUAUUAUAAAGGAACUAGGCAAACUUGAAGUUUCUGUCUGUUUAUCAAAAACAUUUCCUGUUGGUUUUAUAUUAGGUAUAACCUGCCCACUGAUAUAGUUUAAAUGGCCGCGGUAAUUUGACCGUGCGAAGGUAGCAUAAUCAUUAGUCUUUUAAUUGUUGACUUGUAUGAAUGGUUGUACGAGAAACUUGCUGUCUUUAUUUUAUUUUUUGAAUUUAAAUAUUAAGUGAAAAUGCUUAAAUUUUUUAAUGGGACGAGAAGACCCUAUAGAGUUUAACUUCAUUAUUUAUUUUUUAGUUUGUAAUUGAUUUAAUUAAUAAUGAUGUUUUGUUGGGGUGAUUGGAAGAUUUACAUAACUCUUUUUUUUAUUAUUAUUUAUUUAUAAUUUUUAUGACCUUUUAUUAUGGAUUAAUAGAUAAAAUUACCUUAGGGAUAACAGCGUAAUCCUUUUUGAGAGUUCUUAUUGAUGGAAGGGGUUGCGACCUCGAUGUUGGAUUAAGAUAACUCUAUGGUGUAGUCGCUAUAGGAAGUGGGUCUGUUCGACCUUUAAUAUCUUACAUGAUCUGAGUUCAAACCGGCGUGAGCCAGGUUGGUUUCUAUCUAUUGUUUAAAUGUUUUAGUACGAAAGGACCUUACAUUUUUAAUAAUUAUUAGGUUUUGAUUUACAUUAAUUAU
rnacentral:rRNA from 1 species